rnacentral:tRNA from 1 species
GCUUCCGUAGCUCAAUGGAUAGAGCACUUGUCUUCGAAACAAAGUGAUGCUGGUUUGAACCCAGCCGGGAGUGCCA